rnacentral:snRNA from 1 species
GUACUAGCUUCAGUAGAACAUAUUCUAAAAUUGGAACGAUACUGAGAUACUGUGUAAGGGUGACACGUAAAUUCAUGAAGCGCUCCAUAUUUUU